GAAAGUAAACAAGGGCGCAUGGAGGAUGCCUAGGCUCUCGGAGGCGAAGAAGGACGUGAUAAGCUGCGAAAAGUUACGGUAAGGCGCAAAUAGCCCUAGACCCGUAAAUAUCCGAAUGGGGCAACCCGGCCAGCAAUGGCCAUACCGCCAAGCGGUAAGCCAACGCGGGGAACUGAAACAUCUAAGUACCCGCAGGAAAAGAAAAUAACAAUGAUUCCGCCAGUAGUGGCGAGCGAACGCGGAACAGCCCAAACCACCCGUGUUACGGCACGAGUGGGGUAGAAGGAUCCACGCUACGGCAAGAAAUAAGUUAGCAGAAUACGAUGGAAAUCGUAGCCAGAGACGGUGACAGCCCGGUACGCGAAAACGGACAGAAGCCCAGUGGACACCUGAGUAACCCAGGACACGAGAAAUCCGGGGCGAAUCAGCGGGGCCCAUCCCGUAAGGCUAAAUACUCCCGAGAGACCGAUAGCGAACCAGUACUGUGAAGGAAAGGUGAAAAGCACUUCGAAUAGAAGAGUGAAAUAGUCCCUGAAACCGUGCGCCUACAAGCGGUCGGAGCAGCGUAAGCUGUGACGGCGUGCCUUUUGCAUAAUGAACCUACGAGUUACCGUUGCCGGCAAGGUUAAGGGUCAUGAGACCUGUAGCCGAAGCGAAAGCGAGUCUGAACAGGGCGUAUAGUCGGUAGUGGUAGACGCGAAACCAAGUGAUCUACCCUUGAGCAGGUUGAAGUCCGGGUAACACCGGAUGGAGGACCGAACCAAUAAGCGUUGAAAAGCUUCUGGAUGACUUGAGGGUAGGGGUGAAAGGCUAAUCAAACUUGGAGAUAGCUCGUACUCCCCGAAAUGCAUUUAGGUGCAGCCUCGCGGGUUACUGAUGUGAGGUAGAGCGACUGACUGGAUGCGAGGGCUUCACCGCCUAUCAAGUCCUGACAAACUCCGAAUGCGCAUCAGUUUUACCGCGGGAGUGAGGGCAUGGGUGCUAAGGUCCGUGCCCGAGAGGAGAAGAAUCCGGACUAUCAGCUAAGGCCCCGAAAUGACAGCUAAGUUAAACUAACGAAGUCUGAUUGCUAAGACAGCUAGGAUGUUGGCUUGGAAGCAGCCAUUCAUUUAAAGAGUGCGUAACAGCUCACUAGUCGAGGAGUUUUGCAUGGAUAAUAAUCGGGCAUAAGCCCUUUACCGAAGCUGUGGAUGUCGUAAGACAUGGUAGGGGAGCAUUCCGGCGGCGACGAAGGCCGUCCUCGAGGACGACUGGAGCUUUCGGAAAAGCAAAUGUAGGUAUAAGUAACGAUAAAGGGGGCGUGAAACCCCCUCGCCAUAAGACUAAGGAUUCCUGAUCAACGCUAAUCGGAUCAGGGUAAGUCGGGCCCUAAGGCGCAGCCGAACGGCGUAGCCGAUGGAAGAAACGGUAAAGAUUCCGUUACUGGAUAUAGGAGCGAUGUGGAGACGGAGAAGUGACACACCCGCCUGCCGACGGAAGCGCAGGUUAAAGGAAGUAGGUAAACGCCGGGUAGGCAAAUCCGCCUGGCGUGCCGAAGCUGACAGUAUCGAGAGCCCCCGGGCAAUCGAAUAGCGGUGGUAAUCAGGCUCCCAAGAAAAUCCGCUAAGCAUAUUCUAUAUCCACCCGUACCCCAAACGGACACACGUAGUCGGGUAGAAUAUACCAAGGCGCUCGAAAGACUCACGGUUAAGGAACUAGGCAAAUUGACCCUGUAACCUCGGGAAAAAGGGUCCCCAGUAAGAUGGGGCGCAGAGAAUAGGUCCAGGCAACUGUUUAACAAAAACACAGGGCUGUGCAAAAUUUCAAGAUGAAGUAUACAGCCUGACACCUGCCCGGUGCCGGAAGGUUAAGAGGAGAGCUAAUCGCAAGAGAAGGCUUGAAUUGAAGCCCCGGUAAACGGCGGCCGUAACUAUAACGGUCCUAAGGUAGCGAAAUUCCUUGUCGGGU
rnacentral:rRNA from 1 species